rnacentral:rRNA from 1 species
GGAUCCGUGCUUGGGCGAGAGUAGUACUAGGAUGGGUGACCUCCUGGGAAGUCC